rnacentral:rRNA from 1 species
AGUGAACGCUGGCGGUAGGCCUAACACAUGCAAGUCGAACGGCAGCACAGUAAGAGCUUGCUCUUACGGGUGGCGAGUGGCGGACGGGUGAGGAAUACAUCGGAAUCUACUUUUUCGUGGGGGAUAACGUAGGGAAACUUACGCUAAUACCGCAUACGACCUACGGGUGAAAGCAGGGGAUCUUCGGACCUUGCGCGAUUGAAUGAGCCGAUGUCGGAUUAGCUAGUUGGCGGGGUAAAGGCCCACCAAGGCGACGAUCCGUAGCUGGUCUGAGAGGAUGAUCGGCCACCCUGGAACUGAGACACGGUCCAGACUCCUACGAGAGGCAGCAGUGGGGAAUAUUGGACAAUGGGCGCAAGCCUGAUCCAGCCAUACCGCGUGGGUGAAGAAGGCCUUCGGGUUGUAAAGCCCUUUUGUUGGGAAAGAAAAGCAGCAGGUUAAUACCCCGCUGUUCUGACGGUACCCAAAGAAUAAGCACCGGCUAACUUCGUG